GCAAGCGUUGUUCGGAAUUACUGGGCGUAAAGGGCUCGUAGGUGGCCAACUAAGUCAGACGUGAAAUCCCUCAGCUUAACUGGGGAACUGCGUCUGAUACUGGAUGGCUUGAGAUUGGGAGAGGGACGCGGAAUUCCAGGUGUAGCGGUGAAAUGCGUAGAUAUCUGGAGGAACACCGGUGGCGAAGGCGGCGUCCUGGACCAACACUGACACUGAGGAGCGAAAGCCAGGGGAGCAAACGGG
rnacentral:rRNA from 1 species